rnacentral:tRNA from 1 species
GCCCUCGUAGCUCAGGUGGAUAGAGCGGCGGUUUCCUAAACCGCAGGUCGCAGGUUCGAAUCCUGCCGGGGGUA